CCUACGGGUCGCAGCAGUCGAGAAUCAUUCACAAUGGGGGAAACCCUGAUGGUGCGACGCCGCGUGGGGGAAUGAAAGUCUUCGGAUUGUAAACCCCUGUCAUGUGGGAGCAAAUUAAAAAGAUAGUACCACAAGAGGAAGAGACGGCUAACUCUGUGCAAGCAGCCGCGGUAAUACAGAGGUCUCAAGCGUUGUUCGGAAUCACUGGGCGUAAAGGGUGCGUAGGCUGUUUCGUAAGUCGUGUGUGAAAGGCGCGGGCUCAACCCGCGGACGGCACAUGAUACUGCGAGACUAGAGUAAUGGAGGGGGAACCGGAAUGCUCGGUGUAGCAGUGAAAUGCGUAGAUAUCGAGAGGAACACUCGUGGCGAAGGCGGGUUCCUGGACAUUAACUGACGCUGAGGCACGAAGGCCAGGGGAGCGAAAGGGAUUAGAUACCCCGGUAGUC
rnacentral:rRNA from 1 species